rnacentral:rRNA from 1 species
GACUGAGAAUAUGCUACUAUGUGAUACGUUUUCAAAGAGUCGAGUUGUUNGGGAAUGCAGCUCAAAAUGGGUGGUAAAUUUCAUCUAAAGCUAAAUAUUGGCGAGAGACCGAUAGCGAACAAGUACCGUGAGGGAAAGAUGAAAAGAACUUUGAAAAGAGAGUUAAACAGUGCGUGAAAUUGUUGAAAGGGAAACGCUUGAAACCAGUCAUGCGGUUGGGAAAUCAGUCUCUGACGGGGGGGAAUAGGGGAGGUGUGGACCGUAAGGCCGCUCUUUCUUAUAUCUUUCUCGCCAGGGAUGCACUUUUUCUUCUGCAGGUCAACAUCAGUUUGCUUUGCCGGACAAAACUCUUGGGAAGGUGACAGCUUAGGCUGUGUUAUAGCCCUUGAGCGAUACGGUGGAGCGGACUGAGGUUUUCGCAGCAUGUGCUCUCGGGCAAGGCUGAUUGGGUGCUAUGAGAUCGUUCAGGGUACAAUACAUGUAUUUUGCCUUGAGUCUUUUUUAUACUCGCUCAACUCGGCUCUUCCAUGCUUAGGAUGUUGACAUAAUGGUUUUAAUCGACC